rnacentral:rRNA from 1 species
GACGAACGCUGGCGGCGUGCUUAACACAUGCAAGUCGAACGGAAAGGCCCUGCUUUUGUGGGGUGCUCGAGUGGCGAACGGGUGAGUAACACGUGAGUAACCUGCCCUUGACUUUGGGAUAACUUCAGGAAACUGGGGCUAAUACCGGAUAGGAGCUCCUGCUGCAUGGUGGGGGUUGGAAAGUUUCGGCGGUUGGGAUGGACUCGCGGCUUAUCAGCUUGUUGGUGGGGUAGUGGCUUACCAAGGCUUUGCCGGGUAGCCGGCCUGGGAGGGGGACCGGCCACAUUGCGACUGAGAUACGGCCCAGACUCCAAUGGGAGGCAGCGGUGGGGAAUAUUGCACAAUGGGCGGAAGCCUGAUGCAGCAACGCCGCGUGCGGGAAGACGGCCUUCGGGUUGUAAACCGCUUUCGCCUGUGACGAAGCGUGAGUGACGGUAAUGGGUAAAUAAGCACCGGCUAACUACGUG